rnacentral:rRNA from 1 species
UACGUAGGGGGCAAGCGUUGUCCGGAUUUAUUGGGCGUAAAGAGCGUGUAGGCGGCCUGACAGGUCUGCUGUGAAAACUCGAGGCUCAACCUCGAGAUGUCGGCGGAAACCGUCUGGCUAGAGUCCGGAAGAGGAGAGUGGAAUUCCUGGUGUAGCGGUGAAAUGCGCAGAUAUCAGGAGGAACACCGGUGGCGAAGGCGGGUCUCUGGGCCGAUACUGACGCUGAGGAGCGAAAGCGUCGGGAGCGAACAGG